rnacentral:sRNA from 1 species
ACCUAAACCCGACAGCAGCGGCAGCGCCUGAUUCUUCAUCAGGCCUACAGCGAAUGGCGGGACUGCAU